UGAGACGCCGCGUGAGGGAUGAAGGUCUUCGGAUUGUAAACCUCUUUCAGUAGGGAAGAAGCGAAAGUGACGGUACCUAAAGAAGAAGCACCGGCUAACUAUGUGCCAGCAGCCGCGGUAAUACAUAGGGUGCAAGCGUUGUCCGGAAUUAUUGGGCGUAAAGAGCUCGUAGGUCGUUUGUCGCGUCGAUUGUGAAAAUCUGAGGCUCAACCUCAGACCUGCAGUCGAUACGGGCAAACUAGAGUGUGGUAGGGGAGACUGGAAUUCCUGGUGUAGCGGUGGAAUGCGCAGAUAUCAGGAGGAACACCAAUGGCGAAGGCAGGUCUCUGGGCCAUAACUGACACUGAGGAGCGAAAGUGCGGGGAGCGAACAGGAUUAGAUACCCUGGUAGUCCGCACCGUAAACGGUGGGCACUAGUUGUGGGAACCUUCCACGGUUUCCGCGACGCAGCAAACGCAUUAAGUGCCCCGCCUGGGGAGUACGAUCGCAAGAUUAAAACUCAAAGGAAUUGACGGGGCCCCGCACAAGCAGCGAAGCAUGCGGCUUAAUUCGACGCAACGCGAAGAACCUUACCAAGGCUUGACAUAUAGCGAAAAGUGGCAGAGAUGUCAUGUCCGCAAGGGCGCUAUCCAGGUGGUGCAUGG
rnacentral:rRNA from 1 species